CUGCAGAGUUAGAGCAGGAAAGGAACAUCAAAGUGGUUUGCCAUUGCCUUCAUCUGGGCAGUGUCUUUUCAAGACGGGUGAGCCCAGCCAGUAUCAAUACUCUUCAGAGAUUGUCUGCCUGGCAUCAGUGGUCGCAUAACCAGGACUUAUGAUCUGCACCAGCUGCUCAUAUGACCAUCCACCAUCUGCUCCCGUGGCUUCAUGUGACCUUGGUUGGAGGCUAAGCAGGUGCUACACCUUGCCCAAGGGUGACCUGCAGGCUAACAGAGGGAAGGAGCGCCUUGUACUUCACUUGGUAGAGAAGUAUCUCCACCCCACCACCCAAAAUCAUUGAUAGCUAAUAUAUAAUUUCAGGUGAUACCAUAGCAAUAUCUCUGUUGUAGAUUAAAAUUCCAUCUCCACACUGAGUCAGUAAGUACAGUGGAUAGCACUCUUGACAAGUCAGAAAUUGAAAGGUUUAUCAGUGCUACUCUAGAGAUUUGAGCAAAAAAAGGACUGCACUAAGACAUAAAAGUUCUUUGUCUCUUUCACCAGCUUUACCACAAGCUCUUCUGAGGCAAGAACAUCAUCCAGCGGGCUUGCUAUUUCAGAGUGGAGGGAUUAUUGGAAGAAAAAUAGAAAGUUCAACACUGUUGAAAUUUAGUGGUGAAUUAAUAAAUUCUUUUUUUGUCAGCGCACUGGUUAUGGUCCAGAGGCUCACAUUUCACAGCCACGUCAUUCAGCAGGCAGUGCCAAACAAAAUUCUCAGCACUGCUUCUCCCAGACAUUCAGCACUAGACCCAGUACUGGAAGCAUGAAUAAUAUCCGAGUCCACUGCACUCACAAACAAGUGGGUGAAGGAAUAUUGUCAUGUAUGGGGUGAAAGGUACCAUAGAGCCAAUGAUGUCCAAACACUCAGCUCAACAACUGCAGUAGGACAAGGUAGCUAGAGUGCCUAAGAAUUUUCGCACAGUACUGUCGUAAUUUUAUAUAUUCCACUGUGCUGCUGCUGCUAAAAAAAAAAAUCAAA